rnacentral:misc_RNA from 1 species
GCUUCGUUCACCGGCACGUGUCUGGUUAACCCAUGCCAGUAGACCGAGCCGCCGAACGUGUUGACAUGGAUCUCAGAGCCAUCCGCGAGCUGCAUCGGAAGGACAUUUAGGAAGGAGAGCCCCAGCCCAGCGACGAGGUCCGCCGGUAAUGUUAGAUAUUCUGUGAAUCCGGUGUCGAUGACGGCUUCGACAUCCACUACGGCUCCCGUGGGACCGCCCAGGCGCAGCGACACGACUGCCUCCCGUUCGGGUCGCAUUUCCCCUUCGAUCAUAAGACCACUCUUGGACUACGCAUCCGCCCCACCG